rnacentral:lncRNA from 1 species
CCACCGCCGCCACCCUCUUUGGUUGUUGCUGGUCACCCACCAGCCCAGCCCCGUGGCAACUUCGACUUCUGGUGGUUUGCGCAAUGGUUGCGCGCCUACCGGCUGGCCGAACCAACAACGGCGAACUCCAGGAGAUCGACGGAACACGCGAGGCUCACUUCAGUCUUCUUCAUCGGCGAGAGUCGAGAAGGAGAACGAUUUCUCCUCUCGGUUCCACCGACGACAAGAACAACCAGUUUCCCCGUGAGGCGAAGCCCAUCGACAGUGCGCAUUAAGGACGCGCGUCGACUAGGUCACACCACCGGGACGGU